AUUGAACGCUGGCGGCAGGCCUAACACAUGCAAGUCGAGCGGAUGACGGGAGCUUGCUCCUUGAUUCAGCGGCGGACGGGUGAGUAAUGCCUAGGAAUCUGCCUGGUAGUGGGGGACAACGUUUCGAAAGGAACGCUAAUACCGCAUACGUCCUACGGGAGAAAGCAGGGGACCUUCGGGCCUUGCGCUAUCAGAUGAGCCUAGGUCGGAUUAGCUAGUAGGUGAGGUAAUGGCUCACCUAGGCGACGAUCCGUAACUGGUCUGAGAGGAUGACCAGUCACAGUAGAACUGAAACACGGUCCAGACUCCUACGGGAGGCAGCAGUGGGGAAUAUUGGACAAUGGGCGAAAGCCUGAUCCAGCCAUGCCGCGUGUGUGAAGAAGGUCUUCGGAUUGUAAAGCACUUUAAGUUGGGAGGAAGGGCAGUAAGCUAAUACCUUGCUGUUUUGACGUUACCGACAGAAUAAGCACCGGCUAACUCUGUGCCAGCCGCCGCAGUAACAC
rnacentral:rRNA from 1 species